AUUGAACGCUGGCGGUAUGCUUAAGACAUGCAAGUCGAACGGUAACAGGUUAAGCUGACGAGUGGCGGACGAGUGAGUAACGCGUGGGAAUCUACCUUGUAGUGGGGGAUAAGCCAGGGAAACUUGGACUAAUACCGCAUACGCCCUAAGGGGGAAAGGCGCAAGUCGCUAUAAGAUGAGCCCGCGUCUGAUUAGGUAGUUGGUGGGGUAAAGGCCUACCAAGCCGACGAUCAGUAGCUGGUCUGAGAGGAUGAUCAGCCACGUCGGGACUGAGACACGGCCCGGACUCCUACGGGAGGCAGCAGUCGGGAAUAUUGGACAAUGGGGGAAACCCUGAUCCAGCAAUACCGCGUGUGUGAAGAAGGCCUGCGGGUUGUAAAGCACUUUCAGUUGGGAAGAUAAUGACGUUACC
rnacentral:rRNA from 1 species